rnacentral:rRNA from 1 species
UACGGAGGGUGCGAGCGUUGUCCGGAAUCACUGGGCGUAAAGGGCGCGUAGGCGGCCUGAUAAGUAGGGGGUGAAAUCCUGCGGCUUAACCGCAGGGCUGCCUUCUAAACUGUCAGGCUGGAGCACAGUAGAGGCAGGGUGGAAUUCCCGGUGUAGCGGUGGAAUGCGUAGAGAUCGGGAAGAACAUCAGUGGCGAAGGCGGCCUGCUGGGCUGUUGCUGACGCUGAGGCGCGACAGCGUGGGGAGCAAACAGG